rnacentral:rRNA from 1 species
GAUGAACGCUGGCGGCGUGCCUAAUACAUGCAAGUCGAGCGAACAGACGAGGAGCUUGCUCUUCUGAUGUUAGCGGCGGACGGGUGAGUAACACGUGGAUAACCUACCUAUAAGACUGGGAUAACUUCGGGAAACCGGAGCUAAUACCGGAUAAUAUUUUGAACCGCAUGGUUCAAUAGUGAAAGACGGUUUUGCUGUCACUUAUAGAUGGAUCCGCGCUGCAUUAGCUAGUUGGUAAGGUAACGGCUUACCAAGGCAACGAUGCAUAGCCGACCUGAGAGGGUGAUCGGCCACACUGGAACUGAGACACGGUCCAGACUCCUACGGGAGGCAGCAGUAGGGAAUCUUCCGCAAUGGGCGAAAGCCUGACGGAGCAACGCCGCGUGAGUGAUGAAGGUCUUCGGAUCGUAAAACUCUGUUAUUAGGGAAGAACAAAUGUGUAAGUAACUAUGCACGUCUUGACGGUACCUAAUCAGAAAGCCACGGCUAACUACGUG